rnacentral:rRNA from 1 species
CCUACGGGAGGCAGCAGUGGGGAAUAUUGCGCAAUGGGCGAAAGCCUGACGCAGCGACGCCGCGUGAGGGAUGAAGGUCUUCGGAUUGUAAACCUCUUUCAGCAGGGACGAAGCGAAAGUGACGGUACCUGAAGAAGAAGCACCGGCUAACUACGUGCCAGCAGCCGCGGUAAUACGUAGGGUGCAAGCGUUGUCCGGAUUUAUUGGGCGUAAAGAGCUCGUAGGCGGUUAGACACGUCGGAUGUGAAAACUGGGGGCUUAACUCCCAGCCUGCAUUCGAUACGGUCUGACUAGAGUGUGGUAGGGGUAACUGGAAUUCCUGGUGUAGCGGUGUAAUGCGCAGAUAUCAGGAGGAACACCGAUGGCGAAGGCAGGUUACUGGGCCACCACUGACGCUGAGGAGCGAAAGCGUGGGGAGCAAACAGGAUUAGAUACCCUGGUAGUCCACGCCGUAAACGGUGGGCGCUAGAUGUGGGGACCAUUCCAUGGUUUCUGCGUCGCAGCUAACGCAUUAAGCGCCCCGCCUGGGGAGUACGGUCGCAAGACUAAAACUCAUAUGAAUUGACGG